UACGUAGGGGGCAAGCGUUGUCCGGAAUCAUUGGGCGUAAAGCGCGCGUAGGCGGCCCUGUAAGUCCGUUGUGAAAGUCGAAGGCUCAACCUUCGAAAGCCGAUGGAUACUGCAGGGCUAGAGUCCGGAAGAGGCGAGUGGAAUUCCUGGUGUAGCGGUGAAAUGCGUAGAUAUCUGGAGGAAUACCGGUGGCGAAGGCGGCAUCCUGGACCGGCAUUGACGCUGAGGAGCGAAAGCCAGGGGAGCAAACGGG
rnacentral:rRNA from 1 species